rnacentral:misc_RNA from 1 species
AGCUCCAAACCACUCAAAAUUCCAUCGUCCUUCCAAAUUGGGAGACGUUGAGGGACGAGGCGUCGGAUUGAGCUUCUCGAGACUAAUAAUCCUCUCAUUCACAUCAAUGCAUUGUACAUCUGUUGUCUUCCCAGUGACCAAUGCUUCAAAUCCACCAGCAUCUUUGAAUGCAAGAAGCAGAGACUCUUUAGCUGAAAGCCUUUCCAUUUCCUUAGCAAAAGUAGAAGAAGCCCCUUGUACUGUCUUCUCAACCAUAGCUCUACAGACCCUCAACAUCUUUCUUGCAUUUCUUCUUCUCCCUCCUCGGAAAAUGGCGAUAGGUGUACAAGGAGAUGUAUAGGUCGUACGCCGGCAAGAAAAUGGUGGUACCAAAUUUUGAAGUGAA